rnacentral:rRNA from 1 species
AGCGAACGCUGGCGGCAGGCCUAACACAUGCAAGUCGAACGGAUCCUUCGGGAUUAGUGGCGGACGGGUGAGUAACACGUGGGAGCGUGCCCUUUGGUUCGGAACAACUCAGGGAAACUUGAGCUAAUACCGGAUGUGCCCUUCGGGGGAAAGAUUUAUCGCCAUUGGAGCGGCCCGCGUCUGAUUAGCUAGUUGGUGAGGUAACGGCCCACCAAGGCGACGAUCAGUAGCUGGUCUGAGAGGAUGAUCAGCCACACUGGGACUGAGACACGGCCCAGACUCCUACGGGAGGCAGCAGUGGGGAAUCUUGCGCAAUGGGCGAAAGCCUGACGCAGCCAUGCCGCGUGAAUGAUGAAGGUCUUAGGAUUGUAAAAUUCUUUCAGCGGGGACGAUAAUGACGGUACCCGCAGAAGAAGCUCCGGCUAACUUCGUG